CGAGGCCCUGGGGGCUGCCACGCCGCACUCUGGCACCACCCUCCGCUGGGCCCCCCAGCCCUGAGGCCGAGUGUCCUGCUCACUCCCCUUCCCUGCCCCGCACCUGGGGCACAUUUCCACCUCUGUGCAUGCAUGGGGGGGCCCCGCAGUGCCCCUUCCCACACGGCUCCCUCCAAGACUCCCUCCGCAGCCCACAACACCCUGCAGCACAGCCGCUGUCACCACCAGCGCGUGCGUGGGGAGCCCGCGGUAACUUCCAUCUCCCCCCCACAUACUGGCUACACGAGGUCUCCACAGCCAACUGUGCUACCCACAGGACCAGCCGUACCCCAGGGAGGCAUAGUGGCUCUGUGUAUCCCGUUCCUCCCUCUCGCCCUGCACCUAGCUCCACAUGCUGCUCCCUGCUGCAGCCCUCCGGCAGGAAACUCUACAUCGCGUUAUACAGACGUGAACAGUCCAUAGGUAUGAACAUAACCCAAUUAUGCACGUGAAACUGUAUCAUUAGUUUCCCAUUAAACAAAAUCACAUCCCAUCAUGCCACCUUUCCCCUGUCCUAAUCCCCUGUUUAGCAUCUUCACAACACUAUUAAACUCAACAAAGAGGCACCAUCGUGUCCAUCUCUCCCAGUAAGAACAUGGUGUCAAUGACUGCGCUCCUUCCUCUUCAAACAAACGCCUCCACUGUCUCAUGCCCGGUGGUGCAUGUGCACAUUUUGUCCCACCACAGUGAAACAUCCCAAAACACGAGUGGAGGAUUUACUGCUAGACUGCAACAGCUCGUUAUGGAUCCUGCAACACAAUCCGUGCUUUGUCUGCCAAACCACACCAAAGGCACAUCCACACGUACACUGGGCACACAGGUAUUCCAUUACACCGUCCCAUCGCCUCUGCCAUGAGCAUCUUGGACUGUUGGCAAACUUGCCCCUACCUGCACAAGCAGCCCCCGACUGCCCACCUCCUGUUGCCAGCACCUCAACGCUGAGAUAUCAAGCUCUGCCACCCUGUCUGCGUGCCUUUCACCACUGCAUGCUCCAGCAUGGUCCUGCAACACAUGUGCAGCCACUGCACGGCACCAACCACUUAUCACGUGCAUGUCCAUCCCGCCUUGCCAGCAAAGACUACACUGUACAUCCCAAAAUGCUGUUGCAUUUCCUUCUUGCAUGUAUAGAAAUCCCACUAACCCUCCAGCUGGCCGUGGUAUGCACGUGUGUGCUACCCCUGCCUGUAUACCUUUGCUUGAGUGAUGAUGAUGCCAUCAUUUAUCUCAGAUCCACGGAGGAAAAGUGGUAGGCAAGAGCCACACUACUAUUCCACAGAUGCUAUCCAUCCUCCACACAGAUCAAGUGUAGCAGAAUAUCCAGCACUACAGAAACAUCAGGUGGAUAGCACACCACCAAACUCCCGCAGACCCCUGCAGGACUUUUCAUUCCCCCUUUUGUGUGCUGACAGCCAUAAUCCUCUCUAAUAGGAGCCAGAUGGAUGGCCAUGCCAAAUUCCCAUGCCAAGCAGCCUGGCCUCAAGCAGUGACCGCCGCACUCUGCGCGUACCUCUUUGGUUGGUUUGGCGAGAGGUGGCGAGAGGUACGAAGCAGGCAAAGACCCUGCAAAGGCAGUUAGUUACUGGGGCUGUCUCUACAGGUGCUCCCUGAUGCUCUUGCUGGCAAGGUUGUAUCUGCAGAAGGCCGUUUGCUACGUGCAACACGUACCCCGAGCCUCAGCCACUGAAGCAUCAAGCUUCCCAACCAGCCACUGCUUCCUUAAAUCUGUCUCUGUACAGCACCUGAACACAUUUUUAUCAUGAGUGCCUCCAAGCUUCCCCACCUCACCUCCAUCUCCUUUUUCUCUGUAAGUUGAGGUUUCUCAGUCUGCAGAAGCCUUAACUUUCACUCUCAAAAAAUCCAUGCAGGAUGUAAGUGAUUAUGAUUAAGGUGUUUUUAGUGCUUGUCAGGGCCAAGCAGAUUAAAUGGAUUUUUAAAAAAUGAGGCUUCUAAAUCUUUUCCUUUGAUGAUCACAAUGUGAGAUACAUUUCCAGCUGUUUGGCUGCUUUAAAUGUGGGAGUUGCCUACCUUACUGUGGUUUGCUCGCUUACCUGGUUUAACUGAAUUUUCUGAGUUCAUAGCUCUUGGCUUCGAAGCAAUUACAGCUAGACCCGUGGAAUAUAAUCUUCCCUACCUGCUGAUGGGCAUCAGUGCCCCAAACAAGCCCACAGCACGCUUCUGUGGGGAAAACGCCUGCAACAUCGCUUCGCUUCAGUGCUGUGCCUGCAUUAGGGAAAUUCAAACUAACCAGACGACCCUCCCCACACCCCUGCCCGGUUCUGCUUCCAAGGACAACUGGGCAAAGCGGUCUCUGUACCCCCCACAGCAAUGCUGGCGUGGCCUCUGAAUUAUUUCUGUAGGUUUGUGUGUGGACUGGGUCACUCAGGGUUCAGGUCCUGCCCCACCUGCCUCCCCUGGCCAGGCUUUUAUCAGGCCCGCAGCCCUUUCUCGGUUUCACUUUCGACAGAGACAUGUUUCUCCAAUGUAACAAGAAGAGCAAAGUGGGACAUUGUUUCACCGUGGUACUCAGUCCCUGUUUUCACUCAGACGCAGGUGGAGCUCCUUUCAUGUCCAACAACAAAGCACAGGUGUUAAUGGUUCAGAUGCCAGAUGUGAUGCUUCCACUGCAUUGUUUCAUUUGGGAUCCAGGAUACAGACAUACUUCUGUUUUACUCUUCAUUCUUGCUGUUCUUCUGACUGAGGGUUUGCUCUAGCCUGACUGUAAUAUUUGUUUUGUCAGGUUACAUGCAACUAGCAAUGUUAAAAAUAUCUUUCAGUAUCUUUAUUAAACUGGUAUAAUCCAAUGUAUUCACAAACAUGGUGCUGUUCCUCAAAGGCUGCAGGUACACUUCACCUUUUCCUUUAACCUGGUUUUGACAUUCCAUUUGUAGCUAAUGUGAACGGACUUAACCCUCAUCUUUUCUAUUCAGCAGCCCUGUAGGCUCUCCUGAUCAUACUGGUGCUUGCCAUGACUCUGAGUCAAGGUCUUACAGCUUCUGCCAGGUAACCUUGAAGAUCUCAGGAUUUCUGAGAAGCCUUGCCUUUUGAUUUUCUUUAGCGAGGCAGAGAAUUUUGCCUUAGACCAUUCUGAGUGUGGAGGGGUACCAAACUCCCAGAUAAGUAACUUUUACUUUGAAAUUAGUAAGAGACUGGUCCCAACUUUCACUCGGUGUCCGGUUAUUGUCCCAGAGUCUGUCCCUUCAACCCUCCUCCCUCCCAUUUUAAAUUGUCUUGUGAGAAUCCUGUCCCCUCAACACCAGCCAAAGCAAUUGUCCUGAAUUCUGCAAGUUUUCCUCAACACCACAAAGCUCUUUCCUCUGCCUGAGGUACUCUUCUGCACUUCCAGACUUCUGCAAAAUCUCCGUGGCAAGCUAAGUGAAUCUAAUCCAUUUUCAUUGUUGCUUUCUUCAUCCUGCCCCCACCCCUUUUUUUGCUUGUUUGUUUUUUGUUUGUUUGUUUUUCUAACAGAGAAGUGUGAGCUUAUUUGUUUAGCACAACGGCAGUGUCUUUGCUUUGGUGUCAGACAUGGAAGAAAACAACACGAGAAAUAGUCUCCUCCUCUUGUGGACAAGAGACCAGAGCCUCUCCUGUCAUGUCCAAAAAGCUGCUCCUGCAGCAAACAAAUGCCACUGCAACGAGAGGCAGAGAGACUUGCACACAGAGAAUUUGGGAGUAUACAACCAGAAUGAGAUAAAGAACCACUGAACAGACCACGUGAUGCUUCUUUUUUGAGAACAACAUUCCAGCGUCAAUGGAGGAUCCAGUCUCUCUAAUGGGCACCUAGGUGAGGACUUCCCAUAUGCCAGCAUGACUCUGCAUCUACUUCCCGUCAGAAGAACGGCAGUUCAGGCUUCGCUCGGCACUCAUCAUGAGCCUCAUCUCCUGUUCUGCCAGGAGGAGGGGGCAGGGUGAAUGGUGCGGCCGUGCAGCCAGAGCCACACCGCACAGGCACAGUGCAUGAGGCAGUGCUAGUGGCAGAGCACUGAGGCAGGGGGAGAGAUAGAGCAGAUUGGGGAUUGCUCAUCCCCCUGUAAAUCUGAACAGCCGAUCUCCAUCUCUGUAUGCUUUGCUAGUUUGCUUGCUUUAAAAACAUCAUGUACUUGGUACUGAUGCCUAUAGCUAAGAUUACUUGAUAUUUUCCAUCACAAGUCCGUUUUCAGUUUCUCAGAACUUUGCCAGACCUCAGACAUUCAGACCUGAAUUUUCCAUGUUUACCUUCACCUUUUUUUUUCUGAAGAUGGAGGCACUUACUAAGAUGUAAGAAACAAAUACUAUUUUGCAAUUGUAAAAAUACUACUUUGCAACAUUAUCAGUCUUUUAACACAGAAUUUUGUAUAUCAUGAAUAACGAAAGCUGGAAGAAAUACUCAGAAGUUAAGGAUGCUUAUUAGUUAGCAGUUUCAGGUUCCCACUUCCCUGAAGUGCCUCAGAGAUGCCCUGCUCCCCUGCUCACGAAACAAACAGUUGGAUCCAGCCAGAGAAGCAGCAAGUGGUCUCAGAGGGACCGUAAUAACAGCCUGGUGGUUCGAGCUGCCCCGACUGCAAUCCUGUGAUACCUAUUUUUGCAUCCUGUAUUAACGCUUGUGCAUGCUGGCAAGAAUCACUAACACUGAAACACAUCUCUUGAGCUCAGUAAGCAGAGAUACUGAAAAAACAGGCUGGGACAGAAUUCUCCUUCAUCUCCUACCUCCAGCUGGAUCUGGGAGAGGCGUUUCCAGCACUGCACCCAGCAACAGCUGUGCUACAGGGAACAGCACAAAUUAGCCUGGAGGCUGUAUGUCCCAUUCAAGGGGGUUCAAACCCCACUGCUGCUGAGCAGAGCUGAUGGACUUGGAUUUGCUCAAGAGAAGGAUGUACAAGACUCAAAUCUCAUUAAGUCACCUUGGGCUCCAAAGCAGCCAGAGGUUUGCAAAGCAUCGAGAGCCCUGAGUGCCUGGAGGCAGUUUUCUCUUGCCUGUAACAGGGAACAACCAGCUGGGUAACUUUGGGGCUGUGCUGUAACCAAGUCACACACUGGGUCCUGCUCAGAGGUGAAGUGCUCCGGGAGGGGUCUUGCUUUGUGCCACACAUGUCCAUGUUUCACCAAGUUGCUGGCUCCUAGCUUUGUGACACCGGGACUCGCAUGGCAAGCUCCUAUUUAAAAAAAUAAAUAAUUGGGGCCAAU